rnacentral:rRNA from 1 species
GACGAACGCUGGCGGCGCGCCUAACACAUGCAAGUCGAACGAGCGAGAGAGAGCUUGCUUUCUUGAGCGAGUGGCGAACGGGUGAGUAACGCGUGAGGAACCUGCCUCAAAGAGGGGGACAACAGUUGGAAACGACUGCUAAUACCGCAUAAGCCCACGACCCGGCAUCGGGUUGAGGGAAAAGGAGCAAUCCGCUUUGAGAUGGCCUCGCGUCCGAUUAGCUAGUUGGUGAGGAAACGGCCCACCAAGGCGACGAUCGGUAGCCGGACUGAGAGGUUGAACGGCCACAUUGGGACUGAGACACGGCCCAGACUCCUACGGGAGGCAGCAGUGGGGAAUAUUGCACAAUGGGGGAAACCCUGAUGCAGCGACGCCGCGUGGAGGAAGAAGGUCUUCGGAUUGUAAACUCCUGUUGUUGAGGAAGAUAAUGACGGUACUCAACAAGGAAGUGACGGCUAACUACGUG